AUGUGCUUCGUGAGCUACGCAAAUGAGUGUCACACGGCUUCCUCUCUCACAGCCUCCUCCACGGCCCCGAAAGUCUACCCUCUGCCCCCCAGCUGCGGGGACACACCUAGUUCCACAGUGGUCGUGGGCUGCCUGGUCUCGAGCUACUUCCCUGAGCCAGUGACCGUGACCUGGAACUCGGGCGCCCCUUCCAGCGGCGUGCACACCUUCCCAUCCGUCCGAGGGUCCUCGGGGCUGUACUCUCUCAGCAGCACUGUGACCGUGCCUGCCAGCACCUCAUCCGGCAAGAGCUUCACCUGCAGCAUAGACCACCGGGCCAGCAGCACCAAGGUGGACAAGCGCAUCGGUCCACCCAGGGGCUGACCCCCCACCGUGUCUCCCCAACCAACCCCUGAGCUCCCAGGAGGACCGCCCGUCUUCAUCUUCCCCCCGAAACCCAGGGACACCCUCACAAUGUCCCGAACACCGGAAGUCUCCUGCAUGGUGGUGGACGUGAGCAAGGAGGACCCCAAUGUCCAGUUCUCCUGGUACGUGGACGGUGUAGAGAUGCACACGGCCAAGACGAAGCCAAUGGAGGAGCAGUUCAACAGCACCUACCGUGUGGUCAGCGCCCUGCCCAUCCAGCACCAGGACUGGCUGAAGGGAAAGGAGUUCAAGUGCAAGGUCAACAACAAAGGCCUCCCAGACCCCAUUGUGAGAACCAUCUCCAAGGACAUAGGGCAGACCCACGAGCCGCAGGUGUACGUACUGGCCCCACCGCGGGAAGAGCUGGCCAAGAGCUCGGUCAGCUUAACCUGCAUGGUCACCAGCUUCUUCUACCCAGGCAACAUCGACGUGGAGUGGCAGAGAAACGGGCAGCCAGAGUCAGUGGGCAAAUACAAUACGACGCCACCCCAGCUGGAGGACGAAGACUCCUUCUUCCUAUACAGCAAGCUCAGGGUGGACAAGACGAACUGGCAGCAGGGAGACACCUACACGUGUGUAGUUUUGCACGAGGCUCUACACAAUCACAACACGCAGAAGUCCAUCUCCCAGCCUUCGGGUAAUUGA